AAACACGUUAAUCCAAUAUGAAAUGGCAUUAGCCAAAGCAGCUCCCUUGCUUCCGAGACCAAUCUUGAACACGAAAAUCCAACAUAUAAGAAUGUGUGACAAAGCCGUGAAACCAGAAGUCAACAUCAUGGGCAUCACUAUAUUUUGAGUCUGUAGAAAUCUGUUGAGGCAUUGAAGGAUGCCAUACGCGAAAAGGCCUGGGAUCAUCCAUCGAUUGAAUUGUCCUGCUUCGUUUGAUAUAUCACGGUCUUGACCACAAGCAAUGAGAAUUGUGCUGGUGUUGAACCAUAUCAGUAAAAGCAAAAUGCUCAACGAAAGAAGAACGAGCAUUGCUCUUUGUGUGUAAAUGCCAAGCAUAUGGUGUUG
rnacentral:misc_RNA from 1 species